CGAUAAAAAGCACCCUGAAUGUGCCGGAUCCCGUCAAAUCUCGGAACCUAAGCAGAUUUGAGCCUGGUUUGUAGUUGGAUGGGUGACCGCCAGGGUGUCGGCUAUAAGAUGU
rnacentral:rRNA from 1 species